GUAAGAAGUGAUGGUGCAGCCAUAAAGAUGGACAAUCUUCAAGCUAAAAAAAAAAGAAGUGAAAAGAAUGAGCCUAGAUUCUAAGCAUGGUUUCCCUUUUCCCCAGAGAUCUGAACCACAGAUAAUGAGUUUACUUCACUGUGAUAAUAAAUCGAAGAACAAAUGGUUAUUGGCCAUUCCAGAAAGAGUCACUUCUUGGUAACUGUAACAGAGAACACACAAGAUAGGAACUCAACAACUUACACAGAGAAAUCCUGUGAAGAACAUAGAGUUUGCACCUCUCCAAGUGGGAAGAAAUCUAUCAUUUUGGUCAAACUGAUUAGGAGCAGAUUCUUUUUUCCAAUAAAGAGUUCUUGCCUCUUUCCAAUAAAGAGUUCUUGCCUCUUGCCUCUUUUAUAUUCUAUUUAUAUAUAUAUAUAUAUAUAUAUAUAUAUAUAUAUAUAUAUAUAUAUAUAUAUAUAUAGGUCUUUGUUAAAUUUAAAGACAAAGAUGUACCCAAAUGGAUUAAAAGCCCAUUUCAAAUGCCUGUGGCCCACAGAUUGGCAAUUAAAGAUUAUUUUUAAAAUAACUUUUUUCUUUUUUUUUAAUUUAUUUUUUAUUGGUGUUCAAUUUACUAACAUACAGAAUAACCCCCAGUGCCCAUCACCCAUUCACCCCCGCCCCCCGCCCUCCUCCCCUUCUACCACCCCUAGUUCGUUUCCCAGAGUUAGCAGUCUUUACGUUCUGUCUCCCUUUCUGAUAUUUCCCACACAUUUCUUCUACCUUCCCUUAUUUUCCCUUUCACUAUUAUUUAUAUUCCCCAAAUGA
rnacentral:lncRNA from 1 species